CAUGGAGGGUGAGAAUCCCGUCCGGUUGACCUUCAGGACGUUUUACGAUACGCUCUCAAAGAGUCGAGUUGUUUGGGAUUGCAGCUCAAAAUGGGAGGUAAAUUUCUCCUAAGGCUAAAUACCGGCGAGAGACCGAUAGCGAACAAGUACCGUGAGGGAAAGAUGAAAAGAAUUUUGAAAAGAAAGUCAAACAGUACGUGAAAUUGUUGAAAGGGAAACGAUUGAAGCCAGUCGUACCGACGGGAAUUCAACUUCUCGAGUGCUAAUCGUGGGUGACGUUGAGCCUCACGGCCUUCGUUGCUUGUGUUGUUGGUGCUUUUGGGGUGUACUUUUCCGUAUUGGUAGGUCAGCAUCGAUUUCGAUCGUCAUAAAAUGAUCGGGGGAAUGUAGCUUCGGUCUCGUAUCGGAGUGUUAUAGACCUUGGUAGAUGUGACGAUUGGGAUCGAGGAUUGCAAUGAAUACCCUUUUGGGCUAUCCGUCUGACCUCUGAAAGUCGCUCGGGUGUCGAAAGCUUGCUUAUGGCUAUUCGAGUUGGCGGUCAAUAGGUUAGAACGUGAUUACAUUCGUUAAGGAUGUUGACGUA
rnacentral:rRNA from 1 species